rnacentral:rRNA from 1 species
CUACGGGAGGCAGCAGUAGGGAAUCUUCCGCAAUGGACGAAAGUCUGACGGAGCAACGCCGCGUGAGUGAUGAAGGUUUUCGGAUCGUAAAGCUCUGUUGUUAGGGAAGAACAAGUACCGUUCGAAUAGGGCGGUACCUUGACGGUACCUAACCAGAAAGCCACGGCUAACUACGUGCCAGCAGCCGCGGUAAUACGUAGGUGGCAAGCGUUGUCCGGAAUUAUUGGGCGUAAAGGGCUCGCAGGCGGUUCCUUAAGUCUGAUGUGAAAGCCCCCGGCUCAACCGGGGAGGGUCAUUGGAAACUGGGGAACUUGAGUGCAGAAGAGGAGAGUGGAAUUCCACGUGUAGCGGUGAAAUGCGUAGAGAUGUGGAGGAACACCAGUGGCGAAGGCGACUCUCUGGUCUGUAACUGACGCUGAGGAGCGAAAGCGUGGGG